GUCUAUGGCCAUACCACCCGGAACGCUCCAAAUCUUGUCUGAUCUCGGAAGCUAAGCAGGGUCGGGCCUGGUAGUACUUGGAUGGGAGAAAAUAAUUUCCAUUCAUU
ensembl:rRNA 5S_rRNA 5S ribosomal RNA